CUUUACAAUUUUUUAAUCACCAAAUCUCAAAUGCAAUAUAUGUGCCUCAAAAUUAGUUACAACAUAUGUUUAAGACAUUGGAAAAGCUCAGAUUUGCAGCUGUUGGCAACUGAACAUUCAACUGCUAGCUGAUAAAAAAACAGAGCCACCAAUCCAAGAAGUGCUUAAUUUUACCAAUCCACAAGGACUAAAAGUUAACUCUAGAUUAUUAGCAGUGGGCUACAAAGGCGCAUGUUACAAAGCCAGCUUGGUCUAUAUGUAUGUGGGAUUGGGAUAAGAAUGUUGCCACUUUGUUGAUGCAAGGCAACCCAUCACAAUUUGG
rnacentral:misc_RNA from 1 species